UUUGCAAGUACAAUAUCUUUACUUAUUUCUCAAUGUUAUUCAUUAAUGGCAGUUUUUAAUGCAAAGCAGGUGAGGCAAUACCACAACUUGACAGGUUUUAAUGCAAGGCAUGUUUUUAUUUUGGUUUUCUCCUUGUUUUUGUUUUUUUUUUCCUCUCUGUUUUGUUUUGUUUUUUCUUUGUUUUUUUCAGGAGCAAAAGUAUGACUUUCUAGAUUAUGAUUUCAAUUAUCAGAACAACAAUAAUAGUGAUUGUAGUGUAUGUGCUAAAAUAUUUUUAAAGUUGAAUGUACAGCCUAUACCUUAUGGUUGCCAUGCUGUUGCACUUGCACCCAUCUUUGCAUGAUUAGGUAUAAUGUAAGAGCGAAUGUUCUGUCACUAAAAAUGCCUUUUCUGCCUCUCAUAGUUGGCAUUUGUCUUUCUAUGUUGGUAUUUCUUCUUUCUAGCAUGACACACAUUCUAUUGGUUCAUAGCCAUACGCAUAUUCGGUGCAUUAUUCUCAAGAAAAUUUUGUGGCAGAGAUCAUUUUCUCAUAUUUGACAUGAAAUCUGCUGAACAUCCAACCCCCCCACCCCUAUCUCCCCCCCCAUCAAUUGCUGUCUGCUGCUUAUUGCAAACCCAGGUCAAUCAACUGCACCAUCAUUUACUUUUGCGUCUCCAAGCCGCCGCGCAGACCCAUUCACACUAGCCAACAUUGAAAAGUACUUUGUUUAUACAUAUAUGUCAGCAGCCUUAUGAAAUUGCAGUACAAGCCAUGGAGGAGAAGAAAAUACGGGAAAAAUGUAUUUGUAUACUCUCUGCUGAUAUUGUCCCACUCACAGUCCCUGAGUUCUCAUGUUUUUAUUGUCCAACAAGGUAUAAUUUCACAAACGAAGGAAGGGGAAUUUGUUUUGAUUCAAAGGCAAAAGCACGGGUUAAAUGUUACACUUUGUAGUAUGACAUUUGGAUGUGGGAAUGGAAGAUGACAAAGCAAGCAGAAGUGGGCUUAA